rnacentral:rRNA from 1 species
UUUUAAUGAGAGUUUGAUCCUGGCUCAGGACGAACGCUGGCGGCGUGCCUAAUACAUGCAAGUAGAACGCUGAUGUUUGGUGUUUACACUAGACUGAUGAGUUGCGAACGGGUGAGUAACGCGUAGGUAACCUGCCUCAUAGCGGGGGAUAACUAUUGGAAACGAUAGCUAAUACCGCAUAAGAGUGAUUAACACAUGUUAGUUAUUUAAAAGG